AGAAGAUUCAUUUUUUUUUUCUCCAUUGAACAUCAACAAAGCCGAGGGGAAAAGAGUGAGCGGCCCAAAUCUGUCGACCCAUCAUCGCGGGGAACUUUAAUUUGGUGGGGCGAGUGGUCUGCGGGGUAGACGGGUGGUGCUUGGACCUCAUCUCCCAGGAAGCUCUCUGCGCUCCAGAAACAUGAGCUCGCAGCCCGUUUAAGACAAUGAGGGAAACACGUGAGACUCCGGCACACGGCGGCUAAAGUUACCUCCUCGCUCUGAACUUUUGGCCCCGGGUGCAAAGCCUCCCCUCCCUUAUGACUCCUGCAGUGCUCCACCUGUCUCCUCGCUCUCAUUCCUCCCUUCGUUCGGUACCUACCUUCAUCUUGCGUCUCAUUGCGCAACUUUAUCGACUGGCAGGUUUGUGUCUUUCGACAAAGCCGCUGUUUAUUUCAGUCCGUAUACAGUUCUACUGGCCUCUACUACUCCUUCCCGUGUCACAGGUCAGGGAUGACGAACGAUCGUUUGAGCGAAUCGCUCAUCGGGGGGAUUCCUCCGCUUUUGUACGAUUGUUUGUUUGCUGUCGGUGCCUCCAGACGAAUGGCUGGCAGGGCCCCCGCCAUCAGAUCUCCAUCCAUCCGCAGUCCACGCGGGGAACUCUUUCCGCCAGCCAGGAAAAACCUGACUUUCAAGUCUCCCACCCACACCUAUUGGACCGCUCUCCUCUCACCUGUGCAAAUAUGAAAGAGGGAGAUGGAGAGAGGGAGGGAGGGUGGAAAGGAGUGAAAUGGAAAGAUAUCCCAGCCUUUGGUUAUUGGGUGGGGCGCAGAAAAGAAUACCACGCAGCUGAGCAAACCUCCGUACCCAUCGGACCUCACCUGUACACUUCUCUCUCUCUCUGUGUCCCUUAAUCCAUUCUCUGUUUCUGUAACCGGCCCCACAGCGAUGGGGGUUUAAGGCGUUCUUUUAUGGCCUCUGAAUAGAGAUUUCCUUUGAGGUUAUGGAGUCGAUACACUCUCCGACGUCACUUUUGUGCCGUG
ensembl:lncRNA